AAGGUGUUCUCAGAGCAGGGGGCCUGAAGAAUGACUCUUUUGUUUAUAACACGCCCAAUAGGAAUCUGGGGUCAUUGUGAUGAGGGGCAUAAAACUUGUAGCCUCAGACCUGGUGUGGUGGCUCAAGCCU